GACGAACGCUGGCGGCGUGCUUAACACAUGCAAGUCGAGCGGUAAGGCCCUUUCGGGGGUACACGAGCGGCGAACGGGUGAGUAACACGUGGGUGACCUGCCCUCAGCUCUGGGAUAAGCCUGGGAAACCGGGUCUAAUACCGGAUAUGACUCCAUGACGCAUGUUGUGGGGUGGAAAGCCUUGUGCGGCUGAGGAUGGGCCCGCGGCCUAUCGGCUUGUUGGUGGGGUGAUGGCCACCAAGGCGACGACGGGUAGCCGGCCUGAGAGGGCGACCGGCCACACUGGGACUGAGACACGGCCCAGACUCCUACGGGAGGCAGCAGUGGGGAAUCUUGCGCAAUGGGCGAAAGCCUGACGCAGCGACGCCGCGUGAGGGAUGACGGCCU
rnacentral:rRNA from 1 species